ensembl:snRNA
UUGAAGGGCUUCUGCCACACACUCUGGGCAACUGGAUUGUUCUUCAUGUGGGAUCAAAUUCUAGAGAUUUCAGAAGCAUCAUUUUUUGAUAAUUUGGCAGAUGGUAAUCAUUAGUCCCAAUGUCUAC